AGGGCAAUAGCUGGGUUAAAUGGUUCCAUUCCCAGCUUUCCCAGGAAUCCCAAUACUGCUUUCCAAAUUGGCCGUACCAAUUUGCAGUCCCACCAGCAAU
rnacentral:pre_miRNA from 1 species